UAUCAGCCUUUCGGGUGCGAUUCUGUGGAGUGUGAGGAGCUUAACACCUUCAUGCUUUGCAUAUUUGUGCUCUUGGGUGUACUUGCCCGUGUGGUUGGUUAACAUCAAUUUUGGUGGUCAUAAAAUGACUGGAGGAAUGUAGCUUCGAUCUCGUAUUGAAGUGUUAUAGCCUUCGGUAGAUGUGAUGAUCGAGAUUGAGGAUUGCAACGGAUACCCUUCGGGGCUACCUGUCUGGUCUCUGAUCGUUGCUCUGGUGCCGAAAGCUUGCUUACGGUUAUCAAAGUCGAUGGUCAAUAGGUUAGAACGGGUUAAAUUCGUUAAGGAUGUUGACGUA
rnacentral:rRNA from 1 species